UGGUCUAACUUAUAAAAAAUAAAUUACUUCACAAUUUAUUUACAACUAUUAUUAGGCGAGUGUAAUAUUUGAAAAAGACGUCUAGUUAAGGACUUAAAUGCACCCACCUAACACACGGCUAAUUUCUUUUUUAAAUGAAAGAAUAAUGAUUUAACUUUGAUUUUUGCCCGGUCGUCACAAAAUCGUACGGUGCAGUUUUUGUAAAAUUGACGUUUAUUUCAGAAAUUAGUUGAAAAUAAUAAAAUUACGACAUGUUUUUCAAGCAAAAGAAAUUAGUCGUAUCUCUUCUUUUAGGUUGCACUUGUGUAAAACCAGCAAUGCAGUUUUCCAUAGGAACUACCUAAAUUGCAUAUGCAGUCACUCUUCAUUCAGGAAGUUUUGAGGAGAAUGUUAUAUUUCCCUGGAAAGGAGACAUGCACUACUUUUUUUUGCACUAAUAAAAACAUAUAGCUGUGCGGCAUAUUUUCAAGUUUUACUGCCCUCCAUUUAUAAACAUUGCAGGUUCGCACUGAAUUUUUCCAUUUAAUUUGACUCAACACCCAAAUGUCUUCCAGUCCUCCUGAAAAAUAAGUUAAAUAAAUAGACAUUUUUAUUUAUAUCCAUUUAAUUCUCCAAUCAAGUCUUAAUUAAAAAAAAAUUACUUUGCAUCCAUGGCAACAACUAUGUAAACAGUAGCAGUAUUUUAUGCACAUUCAAUUUCUCCCCAAAAGAGGCGUGACUUGCAAAUCACACGUGAUUUACAAAGUGCAACCUAUACUGUACUUUCAAACCCCUUUUAGUAUCAAAAUAUUCUUAUAUUCUUGUUGUUAUUUAUGUAAGUAAUAGAAAAUAAUAAGUUACAAUGGUAGUUUUUUCAUUAUUGUAUUUUUAUAGUACUUCUAGUAACUAUACCCUGUUUGCGGCAAGAUGUGUUUUUUUCCUGUUCACUAUUUUUUUUUUUUUUUAUUCAAAUUAUUAUUUUUUUUGUCUACUUAAUAAACUCAUUAUAUAUAUUUGUGUUUUUCUUGUGCCUUUGUGUAAUAGCUAUUUGAAUCAUGGUUAGUUUUACUACAAUCUGUUUAUUUUGUUGAAUUUUUGUCUUCUUUAUGUACUAUACCAUAAAAUGCAUAAAAAGUUGUCAUACAAGCUUCAAAAAACUAUCCCUAUAACAAAAACAUACACCUUAUCUUUACUUUCUGUUUAUGUUAUAGCACACAAGCCUGUCAGCACUGAUAAAAAAAUUAAAUGAAGAGAGGUCAAAUUAUAUGAACUUGUCAAAUUACAAAAUAAUGAGAUUAGCCAUCAUGAUGAUUU
rnacentral:lncRNA from 1 species